GGAUAACUACCCUUAGGACCGGGAUAACCCUGGGAAACUGGGGCUAAUACUGGAUAGAUAAUUUUUCCUGGAAUGGUUUUUUGUUUAAAUGUUUUUUCGCCUAAGGAUGGGUCUGCGGCCGAUUAGGUAGUUGGUUAGGUAACGGCUUACCAAGCCGUUGAUCGGUACGGGUUGUGAGAGCAAGAGCCCGGAGAUGGAACCUGAGACAAGGUUCCAGGCCCUACGGGGCGCAGCAGGCGCGAAACCUCCACAAUGUGAGAAAUCGCGAUGGGGGGAUCCCAAGUGCCAUUCUUAACGGGAUGGCUUUUCAUUAGUGUAAAAAGCUUUUGGAAUAAGAGCUGGGCAAGACCGGUGCCAGCCGCCGCGGUAACACCGGCAGCUCUAGUGGUAACAAUUUUUAUUGGGCCUAAAGCGUCCGUAGCCGGUUUAAUAAGUCUCUGGUGAAAUCCUGUAGCUUAACUGUGGGAAUUGCUGGAGAUACUAUUAGACUUGAGACCGGGAGAGGUUAGAGGUACUCCCAGGGUAGAGGUGAAAUUCUGUAAUCCUGGGAGGACCGCCUGUUGCGAAGGCGUCUAACUGGAACGGUUCUGACGGUGAGGGACGAAAGUUAGGGGCGCGAACCGGAUUAGAUACCCGGGUAGUCCUAACUGUAAACGAUGCGGACUUGGUGUUGGGGUGGCUUUGAGCUGUCCCAGUGCCGAAGGGAAGCUGUUAAGUCCGCCGCCUGGGAAGUACGGUCGCAAGACUGAAACUUAA
rnacentral:rRNA from 1 species